rnacentral:rRNA from 1 species
AUGCACGCUGGCGGCGUGCCUAAUACCUGCCAGUCGAGCGAACAGACGAGGAGCUUGCUCCUCUGACGUUAGCGGCGGACGGGUGAGUAACACGUGGAUAACCUACCUAUAAGACUGGGAUAACUUCGGGAAACCGGAGCUAAUACCGGAUAACAUGUUGAACCGCAUGGUUCAACAGUGAAAGACGGUCUUGCUGUCACUUAUAGAUGGAUCCGCGCCGCAUUAGCUAGUUGGUAAGGUAACGGCUUACCAAGGCAACGAUGCGUAGCCGACCUGAGAGGGUGAUCGGCCACACUGGAACUGAGACACGGUCCAGACUCCUACGGGAGGCAGCAGUAGGGAAUCUUCCGCAAUGGGCGAAAGCCUGACGGAGCAACGCCGCGUGAGUGAAGAAGGUCUUCGGAUCGUAAAACUCUGUUAUUAGGGAAGAACAAAUGUGUAAGUAACUAUGCACGUCUUGACGGUACCUAAUCAGAAAGCCACGGCUAACUACGUG